GUAAGGAAGAGACCAGGGAGGAGGCUAAGUGAUUUACAUGGAGUCACAGAGCUUGGUGCUUGGCCAAGACCCCAGGUUUCCCAACUCCCAGAUGAGGAAAUCUGUGAAAAUCUGAAAAAUUUGAUUUUUUGAAGACCCUAAAAAUGAAAAUACCUUGCCAAAGGUCACAAAGCUCCCAUCAGUUGUCUAACCCCAAGUUCAUAUUUUUUUCGCUAGACCAGGUCAUGCUGUCACCGUACUUACUUUGUAGUGUACUAAUAUAUACUUAUGUCUUACUAUUUUUGCAUUUUUGGAGCACCUAAGAGUGUGUUAAGAGAGAAACAUUGCAUUGUGGCAGGACAGGACAGUGGUUAAGGGCUAGAUUGCUUAGGUUCAAAUUCCAGGCCUGCCCCAUACUAGCUAAUUAACCUUAGGUAAGUUUACUUAAAUUCUCUGUAUUGCAGAUCUCUUAUCUGUAAAAUUAGGCUAAUAAUAGUACUUACUCAUAUCAUAGUUGCUAUGGUUUGAAUAUGCCCCCCUAAUUUUAUAUGUUAGAAACUUAAUCUCCAAAUUCAUAUGUUGAUGGAAUUUGAAGGUAGGGUCCUUGGCAGGGAUUAAUGAUUAGAUAAGAUCAUCAGGGUAUGGCCUCCACAAUGGGAUUGGUGGCUUUAUAAGAAGAGGAGAAAGACCUGAACUGGACAUGCAUACUCUUGUUCUCACCAUAUGAUGUCCUCCGCCAUCUUGACAAGGCCCUCACCAGAUGCAGCCCCUCAACCUUGGACUUCCCAGCCUCCUGAACUAUAAGAAAUUUUUUUCUUUAUAAAUUACAAGUCUGUGGUAUUCUGUUAUAGCAACAAAAAAUGGACUAAGACAAUAGACUGUCAUGAGGAUAAAUGAGUUAGUAAGUGUAGAGUCUUAAGAAUGGUGCUUGGCAUUUAGUAAACAUUAUAACAAUUAGAUGUUAUAUUAUUUGUAUUACUUAUUAUACAGACAUUUAGAAAUGUAUGAAAUGACUGCAUCUCACAAGGAUAUUAUGAAAUAAUUUGGGUAGAAAAGACAUGGCGAUCUAAAGUAAGCCUUGAAAGAUAAGGUACUAAAUCAGGUGGAUCUUAUGAGGGAUGCAAAGGGUCUUAGAGGAGCAUGAGCUCAGAACAGGCUGUGUCUGUGAGCCAUGCUGGGAUCAGGAGCAGCUGAGAGGAAUGGGAAGCUCAGGCAAAGCUGGAGUUGAUUUAAAAUGAUAGACAUAUGUGGUAUAUAACAUGAUCUACAUGAUAGAAUAUGAUAGAAAUAUAUGGGUACUAUUGAUGUCAGGGACCUGGAAAAACAACUGCCUCUGCUGGGAAAUGUGGAAUUGCUUGCUUAUUUCUUCUUUCUCAGUGUUUCUGAAAAACCCAGCCAAAUUUAUUUCAUGAAAUAAUCAUCAAAACAGGGGCAUGUCUGCAACUGCCCAAAGUGAAAUCAGGGCCAUUUUCUAUAUUACUUGUGAUAAAUGGGAAACUUUUCAUUUAAAUACGAAAAGGAUGUAUGUGAAUUACUGAUGUCUCCCCCAACCCUCCCAUGUCUCAUCUCUUCUUUAAAAAUGUCUGGGAGAGGUUAUCAUUAAGGGAAGAGUUAAGUGGAUGAUAUCACUCAAAAUCUUGUAGAUAAUGAAAGAUUAACUUAUACAGCCUUUUAGUUUGGUUCCUUGACAUGCUCCCACUGAAGACAAAUUCUAAAAUAAUAAAAGUUGAGAUGGAAUCCAGUAUCUUCUGCUAAUUCUUACCACUUGUCAUAAUUUUUGUCACAAAGUUACUAUUAUGAUUAAAAAAUAAGUCGAAGUGGCAUAACAAAUUGAAGAUCCAGAUUUCAGUGUGUGAUUUACAUUUAAAACACAUACAUUUUAAGAUUUUUAUGUUUUCUCAUUCUAUUUUCUUAUACUUUGGCAUUAUUUCUAGUAUAUAUAGAAACGGAAAAAUGAUUAGUGAAUACGUUCACAGAGAAAGCACAGGAAAUACACGGAAGCAAAGAUUACUACCAUCCUUGUUCACGCUAUAAACAUAUAUCUUUUGAAAACUCUUUUAGCCUCUGAGGGAAGAGGUUGCAUCUGCUAACUCUCCAGCACAUAAAAGGUAAUCAAUAAAUGUUUGAUAAAUUCUAUUUAACAGUCAUAUAGGUUUUGGGCCGGGCGCGGUGGCUCACGCCUGUAAUCCCAGCACUUUGGGAGGCCG
rnacentral:lncRNA from 1 species